UAGAAAUAUGCAAGUUUCACU
rnacentral:piRNA from 1 species